CUCCGCGGAAUGCUCUACCCUGGCGAGGAGCGGAAGGACACCGGGUAUAGCAGGCUAUCCUCAAGCGGCCUGAGAGCACGUACUUCCCGAGAGCAUCUGUGCGUGGGACUGCCCUCGGCUCUGGGAUGGAGCGGUGCACAAAAUCCAUGAGCUUCACGUUUGAACCAGAAGUUCAGAGGGGCUUGUGCUGACCUAACACGAGUACCUUACUAAACCAUGACUCCUGUUGAAGGGGAUGUUCCACUGCAGAUUCUGAUGAUCACGCUGUUUGAGCUCCUGCCCUGUACCUGGACAGGAUCUGACCAGCAACGGAGAACCAGCCCGUGGGCUCAGCGCCCAGACUGGGCCGAACCAGUUGUCGACAGCGGCACCGUGUGGCCGUGAGGAGAAAUGACAAUAGCAGGUUGCUGCAAUUCCAGG